UACAGAGGUCUCAAGCGUUGUUCGGAUUCAUUGGGCGUAAAGGGUGCGUAGGUGGCGCUGUAAGUCAGGUGUGAAAUUUCGGAGCUUAACUCCGAAACUGCAUUUGAUACUGCGGUGCUUGAGGACUGGAGAGGAGACUGGAAUUCACGGUGUAGCAGUGAAAUGCGUAGAGAUCGUGAGGAAGACCAGUGGCGAAGGCGGGUAGCUGGGCCGACACUGACGCUGAGGCGCGAAAGCCAGGGGAGCGAACGGG
rnacentral:rRNA from 1 species